CUCAAAACCCUGUACAUUUAGUUUGAUUUUCAUUGAUUAUAUUGAACGUAUAUUAAAAUGUUACUUAUAUAUAAAGAUUGAUUUAUAAACCCAAUUAAUUCAAUUGAAUAUAAAUGAAUGAUGAAGUGCUACAAAUACCAUACGUAACCCAUUUUAUGUUGUGUGGCAAAAUGGCUUACGAAAACAAUUUUGUCAACAUCUUUGGAACUUUUACCGCUGUUCUAGCUCUGAAUUUCAUAUUUUUUGCUAAAAUACAAAGUAUGGAGUAAUCAAGGCCUCAUUUAAGUGUAAUGGCUUCUGUUUAGGGCCAUCUUAUUGGCCUCGUCUUAGACAUCUGAUCUGAAUAAGUCUCUACCUGCAAAAACACACACAAAUGAGUAAUCCACUGCCCCUGCCAUUUGCUGAUUGCACAAGGAGAUGCCACUCCAAAAAACAUGGUGACAACAUAACAAGUGUGCUGUCAAAAUGUAACUUAAAGCAGUUUCAAGCGUACUUUGGUUUUUGCCACAACACUGCUACACAAGUGGAUUGUUAUGGCAGGAAUGCGCUGCAUGUGGCUUCAUCAUGUGGGAAAUGGGAGAUUGUUGCAUGGCUCUUAAUUGAGAAGGGGGUUGAUACUAGCACAAAGGAUGCAGAGUCUCACUGGUCAGCUUUGCAUCGAUCCUUAUUCUAUGGUCAACUAUCCUGUGCCAGAAUUCUCAUAUCGCAUGGUGCCAGUAUUCACAGUCAAGAUAGAGAGAAACAUACACCUAUUGACCAACUAGUCCUAGAUAGACCACCUUAUGUAGACAUAUCCAUCAAUGGCAAAACUGAUGUGUAUACUUGGGGAGACAACACAAAUUUCACACUAGGGCAUGGUAAUGAGAUGAGACAUCAUACACCAAACCUGGUUGACACUUUCACCAAGGCAAAGCUAUCUGUUGUCCAAGUUGAGUUACUGAAAUUUCACUCAGUGUUCCGUACGAGUUGCGGUAGAGUGUUCACAUGUGGUCAUGGGAGAGGAGGCCGCCUGGGCCACAUGGAUGAGCAGACAAAGCUUGUGCCAAAGGAAGUGCCAUUGGAAGAGAAGAUCUCCUUUGUUGCAGCAGGAAGGGAUAACACUGCAUUUUUAACAGAGUCAGGGCUUGUGUUUACAUGUGGAUUGAACACAUACCAUCAACUGGGACUGAAUCCUCCUCCAAGUCAUAGUUUACUCCCUAAACAGGUUGUGUGCAAACUGUGGAAGGGUAAACAUAUUGAGGGCAUAGCUGUUGGACGGUUUCAUACUGCCGUACACACAAAUACAUCCGUCUACACAUUUGGCUUGAAUGCAGGGCAAUUAGGUCAUCAGAAAGGAGAGAAGUUGCAGAGUCAGCCGAGGAUUGUCUCUCCACUCAACCACAAAGACAUCAUGAUUUCUAGCAUCACUUGUUCAGAUGGCGCAACUAUAGUUAUCACCAAAAAAGGCGAAGUGUUUGUUUUACAUGAAUAUCAAUGCCGUAAGAUCACAACAAGGCUACUUGACAUAAAGAAUGUGUGCUGUACAGGGGGGCACCUAGACCUGAAGUCUGCAGGGGAUAUACAGGGGGACACAUCCAACAAUGAACUCAUUAUAUGUUUCCUCACACAUUCAAAGCGGGUUUUUUUGUGGAAGAGCUCUGAUCCUACUUUGAGGAGAUGUACCUGGUCCUUGGGUGGCGAUCUAGCCAUCUGUGACAUCAGCCUCACCAUAUAUGGCAUGGUGAUUGUGACAGACACAGGACAGGCCUAUAUUGGUCACAGGUCAACUAAGUUAAAAGUGAAAGAAAGUGCAGUGUCCCCUCAGAAAGAUGGCAUUCAGGUGUUGAGUUCCAUUGGUUCUAUGGUUGACUGGCAGUUGGAGGCAGACGAUGCAGAACUUGUCAAUCUUCAACGGGUGCUCUAUGUACACAGGGCAGUGGCUGUCACUGCUGAUAAGAAAGGAAGAAAUUUUGCAGUAGUACAAUCCCAUCAUUCCUCUAGUCUCACUGAGCUUCCUAACGUGUCUUCAUCUGAGAUUUCUCAGCAUUUCAAAACUCUGAUGUCAGAGGCUGAUUCCUAUGAUGUCAUACAUGAUGUCACCAUCCAGGUGGAAAAUGAAACUAUUUUUGCUCACAAGUUCAUCCUUGCAUCAAGGAGUGAAUAUUUUAAGAAGCUUUUUACCUCCAAAACUGAAGAGUUCUUGACAGAUGCAAAAACAGCAUUAACAUUAGAAAACACAAGCUUAGAUAUAUUUUUACAAUUGUUGACAUUUUUAUACACAGAUAAUUGUGAUUUGUUGACACCUGGUGCCAUAGUAACAAUAGCAAAACAAACUCAUAGCAAUGAAAAAAGCAACAAGGCACAGCCAGUGGAAGAUAUACCAAGGAGUAAAAAUGGCAAACCAAUAUCAGCUCAUCAAUAUAACCAGAAAUUAAAGAAAUUCUCUCAAAAAGAUGGAAAAGUGGAAGAAAUAAAUAAGUCAAAGAGCUCAAAUCCAACAAAAUUAUUGCAAGAAAUGGCAAAAAGAUUUGGAGUGAAAAGCUUAGUGAAAAGGUUAGAUGCUGUUUGUUGGAAUGAUGGAACUGUUACCUUGGGGACCAAUAAACAUCUGACUCCGCCAUCCUUGAGACUGGACAGAACUAAAUUGCGCAGCUUGUAUGAUGUAGAGAUCAAGUCUGAGGAUGGGUUGACAAUUAAGUGCCACAAGUGUGUCUUAGUGGCUAGACUAGAGUACUUCCAUAGUAUGUUGGCCACUGGCUGGGUAGAGACAUCAUCUUCAGAGGCCCUGAGUUUGCCUGUCCCUGGGGACAUACUCACUGUCAUCUUAGACUUCCUCUAUACUGAUGACUCAGCAUUUGUCAGAAAAUGUGAAGAUGCUGAAUUAAUAUGCAACAUUCUAGUUGUUGCUGAUCAACUUCUUAUUGGUCGAUUGAAAGAUAUCUGUGAGAUGGUCCUGUCACAACUCAUAACAUUGAAGAAUGCCACUGAGUUACUUGAGUUUGCCUCAGUGUACAACUCUCAGCAACUUAAAUCAACCUGUCAGCAAUACAUCUGCUUGAAUUUACCCACAAUUCUUGAGAUGAGAGUCCUAGAGGUUCUCAGCGAUGAUGUCAUAGAUGAACUGACAACAUAUUACAGAAAUAUGGUCCCUGAGAUGUGUCGCAGAAUAAUCACUCCAUUCGACGCACCUCCUGAUAUCUGCUACCUUGAAUCAAUCGAAAAAGAUCUACUCUUUGACAUUGAUAACAUAAGUUCAGAUUCCAAAUCUGAUCAAUUAAAGCGAAGUAAAUCCAGGAAGAGGCGAGGUAGGACAAAAAGUCAGGGGGAGGCAGGAAAACAAGGGGAUCAGAGAUCAGAGGGUUAUGGAUCCAGAUCUGUUGGUCGCCAGAUGUCAAUCAGUUCAGAAACAUCUGAUAUUUUGGAGGAUGUUGAUGAAAUCUUGGAUGAUGAGACUAUUCCACUGAAGUCCCCUUUGGAAAUUCAACCACAUAUUGUGAUCCCUAGUCGAAACUUCAAUUCUGUGUGGUCUCAAAAGUCACCUAGGCAGCAACAAAGCCAAAGUUCUCCCACAAUGCACCUGUCUCCUGUGUCACCACUGGCCACAACUGGUUACCAAGGUGAUGGCGAUGUGACAGGAACAUCUCCUCCAGUUCAUAUGUAUGGAUUACGUGAUAUCAUGUUAGAAGAGGCGAUCAAAAAGGCUGAGAUUGAAAGAAAUGAAAAAACCAAGCUUGUUAGUAGUGUUCCAAGGUUUGCUAAAUUGUCCCAGAAAGAACGCAAGAAACUUCAGCAUAAAAGAGUUGAGCAGGAGAAGCAAGACCAGCAUAAACAGAUUGCUCCUGCCUCAGCAUGGGGUAAUGUCAACACUGUAGUGCAAUCCUUCAAAGACCUUAUGGUAGGAGAGGAUAAUAAACAAACAAAGCAGAUCUCCAAGGCAACCACUCCGACAUCUGUUCCCAUAGUGACAGUUGCCGCAACAUCUCCAAAAACAAGUGUCAUUCCACCAAAGUCUGCACACAUUUCUCCCAGUAAACCAAUCGGAAGUAAAUCAACUUUAUUCAGUUGGGGAUUGCCUACCAGUUCUGUCCAGUCACAGAAAGAUUCCAAUGAAAAUGAAGUUGCCAUUCCCACAUCACCCCCUGAGAACCCAUGGCAGAGACCACUGGCGAAUGUAGCUGCAACUAAAAAAUCUUUAAGUUUCUCAGAUAUUGUUCAUGAUGAAAUGAUCCAGAAACAAACACACGACAGGACAACCAAUAAACCUCUACAUUUAAUACAGAUAGAGGAACAGGCAAUACUAGAACUACUGGAACAAUACAAACAGGCUGAAAACUUUGAUGAAAGAAUCUCAAUACAGAGAGUAGCUGUUUCCAUGGCAGCACCCACAUGGGCAGCCCAUACCAAACAGAACAUUUAAUAUGAUAACCAAACAUUGUGGUUAAUAACAUGUGAUGCCUUCAAAACAGAAGUUAGAAUGAUUUAACCAUGGUCAGAUAGGUCAAUGGUAGCAUGACUUGGCCAUGGUCAGAUACAUGUAGAUCAAGGGUACACAGGCAAAUUACAUCAGACCCGUACAAGCCCUUACGGAGCUUGUAGAGUCAACAGGCCCUUUACAACCUUGUACAGGCCUCCUUACGAGGCUCGUAAUUGCUUGUAAUUGCCGAGCCUCGUAAGAGCUUGUGAUUACAAAGCUUGUAAUAGCUCGUGAUUUUCGAUCCCCUAUCCCCGUACUUGACCGUACUGUGCCCGUAAUGAGCCCCGUAAUAAAUCGUUAUUUCCAAUCCCCAUACUUGCGCGUACAAUGCAUGUAAGGGGCCCCGCA
rnacentral:misc_RNA from 1 species